GACGAACGCUGGCGGCGUGCUUAACACAUGCAAGUCGAACGGGCCUGUCUUCUUUUUUGGGGGGUGGGUUGAGUGGCGAACGGGUGAGUAUCACGUGAGUAACCUGCCCUUCGGUCCUGGAUAACCGCUUGAAAGGGCGGCUAAUACGGGGUGGUCCGGUUGGUCCGCAUGGGCUGGUCGGGAUAGAUUCACUGUUCUUGGUGUUUCGGCGGGGGAUGGGCUCGCGGCCUAUCAGCUUGUUGGUGGGGUGAUGGCCUACCAAGGCGGUGACGGGUAGCCGGCCUGAGAGGGUGGGCGGCCACACUGGGACUGAGAUACGGCCCAGACUCCUGCGGGAGGCAGCAGUGGGGGGUAUUGCACAAUGGGCGGAAGCCUGAUGCAGCGACGUCGCGUGAGGGAUGGAGGCCUUCGGGUUGUGAACCUCUGUUUCCGGUGGUGAAGGCCCUGUCCGUGUGGUGGGGUUGACGGUAGCCGGGGAUGAAGCGCCGGCUAACUACGUG
rnacentral:rRNA from 1 species